rnacentral:tRNA from 1 species
GGCUCAUAACCUUGAGGUCAUGGGUUCAAAUCCCAUCU